UUUGAUUUUGAUUUUAUUUUGUUGUAAUAUAUAGGAACUGCCAUGUUCCUAUUGUAAUAAUUUGAAUGCCUGAUGAGCAUUAUGCUGGACCCCAUGGAGGCGUAAAAUACAGGGUGUAUUAAAAGACGAGACCUUAACUAUAUUCUUGUUAAGUGCAAGAUUUUCUACUCGUGCCAAUUUAAAAUAGCUUCCAAUCGUAUGAAGGGGCGUAACUGCAUAAAAAAUUGUCAAAUUACUAAUCAGUGAUAAGGCCAAAAAAAAUAUAUGUGGGUUUCCGGUUUCUUCUUAUAAAAACUUAGGUAGGGUAGGUCGGUUUUAACUUUUUUUUUUUAACUUUUUUUUAUUUUUUCGAAUAAGCGGACGCCAUUUUGUUUAGUCAGUGCUUCCACAUCCAAAGAUACAUUUCCCUAAUAUUGCCUCAAAUUUCAAUUUUCCACAAACUUUUUCCUCUAAGUGGAAACACUUACAAGCAUGAUCCAAUAAAAAAGUUUAGGGUCGGGAUUUCGACGUCCAAAAGCUAGGUAGGGUCGGGAAACCGGAAACCCACAUAUUUUCUUUUGGCCUAUUUUUCUAUUCUG